CCUCUUUCUCUCCCAGUUUUAGUCUGUUUUUGCAGGUUGUUCCACACAAACAAUCCUUGGAAGCUGCUAAGAAGAGAGAGGAAACGAGACCUGGAGGUUUGGCGCAUGAGAGUUAGCAAAUUGCAGGACAACCCUUGCCUAGCUCAUAGACUUGGUCCCACACCCAAUCUGAGGAGAAGAUGGAGUUCCUGUUUCUUUAGAUAGUCUGUGAAGUGUCACACCAGAUUGGAUGCCUAAGAAGAAGUUGGGAAAA